rnacentral:rRNA from 1 species
CCUACGGGAGGCAGCAGUGAGGAAUAUUGGUCAAUGGGCGGGAGCCUGAACCAGCCAAGUCGCGUGAGGGAAGACGGUCCUAUGGAUUGUAAACCUCUUUAGGCGGGGAGCAAUGCCGGGCACGCGUGCCCGGAGGGAGAGUACCCGCAGAAUACGCAUCGGCUAACUCCGUGCCCGCCGCCGCGGUAAUACGGAGGGUGCGAGCGUUAUCCGGAUUUAGUGGGUUUAGGGGGUGCGUAGGCGGAUUUUUAAGUCAGCGGUAAAGUGUCCGGGCUCAACGCGGGCCGGCCGUUGAAACUGGGGUGCUUGAGUGGGCGAGAAGUAUGCGGAAUGCGUGGUGUAGCGGUGAAAUGCAUAGAUAUCACGCAGAACUCCGAUUGCGAAGGCAGCAUACCGGCGCCCGACUGACGCUGAGGCACGAAAGCGUGGGGAUCGAACAGGAUUAGAUACCCUAGUAGUC